rnacentral:rRNA from 1 species
UACGUAGGUGGCAAGCGUUGUCCGGAUUUACUGGGCGUAAAGGAUGCGUAGGCGGAUAUUUAAGUGAGAUGUGAAAUUCCCGGGCUUAACUUGGGAGCUGCAUUUCAAACUGGAUAUCUAGAGUGUGGGAGAGGAGAAUGGAAUUCCUAGUGUAGCGGUGAAAUGCGUAGAUAUUCGCAAGAACACCAGUGGCGAAGGCGGCUCACUGGCCCGAUACUGACGCUGAGGAGCGAAAGCGUGGGGAGCAAACAGG